GUGCUUGGUUCGGCAGCACAUAUACUAAAAUUGGAACGAUACAGAGAAAAUUAGCAUGGCCCCAGCACAAGGAUGAGACGCAAAUUUGUGAAAUGUUUCAUAUUUUU
ensembl:snRNA U6 U6 spliceosomal RNA